GGCGAACGGGUGAGUAACACGUGGGCAACCUGCCCCCGGCUCUGGGAUAACUCCAAGAAAUUAGGGGCUAAUACCGGAUAUCCACGGCUGGCCGCAUGGUCUGGUGGUGGAAAGGGUUUCCGGCUGGGGAUGGGCCCGCGGCCUAUCAGCUUGUUGGUGGGGUAGUGGCCUACCAAGGCGACGACGGGUAGCCGGCCUGAGAGGGUGACCGGCCACACUGGGACUGAGACACGGCCCAGACUCCUACGGGAGGCAGCAGUGGGGAAUAUUGCGCAAUGGGCGGAAGCCUGACGCAGCGACGCCGCGUGGGGGAUGACGGCCUUCGGGUUGUACACCUCUUUCAGCAGGGACGAAGCGGCAAGUGACGGGUAACCUGCAGAAGAAGCACCGGGCCAACUACAGUGCCAGGCAGCCGCGG
rnacentral:rRNA from 1 species